ensembl:miRNA cin-let-7c cin-let-7c
UGAACUGAUGCAAGUUGAGGUAGUAGGUUAUAUCAGUUGAUUAUAUGAACCAGGAGAUAACUGUAUAGCCCACUAGCUUACUUGCAUGGUUUACUUUCAACCAAGAAAAG